AUGAGAAGAUGGCAUGUCCAGUAACUCAAGCCUGUAAUUCCAGCACUGAAGAGGCUGUUACUGGAGGAUUUUGAGGAAUUCAAGGCAUCGCUGGCAGCAGACACCUUUACCACAGGCCACGCUGAGACAAGGCAGCAGACAGAAGUGCUUCCCAGCAUCCUCAACCAACAUGGUGCAGAUGGUCUAAGUUAAGGAGACGGGCUGAAGCUCUGCACAAGCAAUUUGUGGACAGAAAAGCACUGCUUGUUCCUGGAGAGGAUGACAAGGAUGAAGUUCCAGAUCUGGUGGAGAAUUUUGAUGAAGCUUCCAAGAACAAGGCAGACUGAACUGAAGCAACUUCUGGAGAAGAUUCCCAACCAAAGGAAGUCCAACUCUACCAUGACAGGCUAUUCCAGCAGAAAUCACUGAAAAAGUGUCCCUGAGGUCCCUGUUUUGAUGUUCAUCUGCUGUCUGGGAGUUUUCAAAUUGUUCCAGAUACUUGAAGAACACCUGAAAUUCAGCUGUAAAAACCUACAUCCCAGCCCUUCCCUUACACCAAAGUUUUAAAGUGUAACUUACUACUGUGUGUGUGUGUGUGUGUGUGUGUGUGUGUGUGUGUGUGUGUGUGUGUGAAGCCUGUGUGAGAAAGCUGUGAACUUAUAGUAAUCUAUGGAUUGGGCAGAGGACAGAAUGUUCUUCCCAGCAGGUAGCUGUGCUGGAUAGUUUCAUGUUAACUCAACACAAGUCAAAGUCAUCAGAGAUGAAGAAACCUCAAUUAAUAAAAUGCCUCCAUAAAAUCAGGCUAUAGGCCAGCCUGAGGAGCAAGCCAUUAAGCAGCAUCUCUCUGCAUCACGGCCCCUGCCUCAGCCCUGCCUCCAGGUUCCCACCCUGCUUCAGUUCUGGCUCUGACUUCUUCCAAUGAUGAACUGUGAAAGAAUAUGCAAAAUAAACUUUUCUCCCCAAGUAGCUUUGGCCAUGGUGUUUAUUACAGCAAUAGUAACCCUGACUAAGACAGUGGUCUUCUAGAAAGAAUUGUCUAAACUAUAAUCAGUGAAUGCAUGCAGGAGAUUGGUCUGGUGCUGCUUGUAUUCAAAUGCUAGAUUCUAUACUCCCAGCUCUGGUUGUUCCAAGAUGAACAGAUCCUCAAGUACACCAGAUUUUGUUGUGUAAACCUUGCCCUCCAAGUUAUCCAAGAUUGGUUAAUAAAGAUGCCUACAGCUUAUACCCUGGGCAGAAGCGGUAGGCAGAGCGGAGGGUUCCCUGGGCCUGAGGCUGGAAGCACAAGGAGGAGAGAGGAGGAAAAGCCACCAUGGAGCAGGUGGAUCAUGAGCACAUGGGCCAGCCUGAUGGUGUGUGUGUGUGGGAACAUGGCAGGUAUCUUGGGGUUACUGACAGGAAAGUAGACAAAAUACCAUAGAGGAUUGAUAACUGCCCAGAUCUACUGUUUUAAGGCUUAUUAUAAAUAUAAAUGUUUUAUGUCACUUAUUUUGGAAUGAAAUGAUUUAAGGUGGUGUAGAAAACCCCAAAUAAUAUUUAUCACAACAAAUGCACCCGAACCAAGGAAAUGCCAUGCCCUGGCAUGUUCACAUUAUCUUGGGGGAAGGACAAAGGCCUGGGAGGAGUCUUCUUGGCUCUUUUCACAUGACCAAAGAUGAUAAGACAGAACACCAGUA